UGAUCGUACCGUAAUUGCUAUCCUGAUUUCGUCGAACAAUCCAAAGGAAACAGUUAUAAUCGAGUGUAUUUUUUUGUUGUUGUUGUUGUUGCUGACUUUAUAGUUGAAGCCGCUGUUGAAAGUUGAGAGAUGGCAGGUCUGCAGUGGGAGCUUCCCACGGAGCUAUGCUGUCGACCGAUGGCUUUUGUCGCUCUUACUGGUUUGGACGUAGUGUACAAUGCUGUGCACCGUGCUAUUUGGGAUGUGUUCAGCGCCAAUCGGCGAGCCGACAGAGUGCCAAUCUCUUUCAAAAUCCUCCCUGGCGACCAUGAGUAUCCCAAGUGUCGAACUAAGCGUACAUCCUAUGAAUGGUACAUUCCGAAAGGAAUUGUGAAAACAUCCUGGAUGAACAA